rnacentral:rRNA from 1 species
UACAGAGGUCUCAAGCGUUGUUCGGAUUCAUUGGGCGUAAAGGGCGCGUAGGCGGUUUGCUAAGUUGAAUGUGAAAACUCUGGGCUUAACCCAGAGCCUGCAUUCAAUACUGGCAGGCUAGAGUUCUGGAGGGGAUAGCGGAAUUCCUGGUGUAGCGGUGAAAUGCGUAGAUAUCAGGAGGAACACCGGUGGCGAAGGCGGCUAUCUGGACAGAGUCUGACGCUGAGGCGCGAAAGCGUGGGGAGCAAACAGG